CUCAGAUUGAACGCUGGCGGCAGGCCUAACACAUGCAAGUCGAGCGGUAGCACAGAGAGCUUGCUCUCGGGUGACGAGCGGCGGACGGGUGAGUAAUGUCUGGGAAACUGCCUGAUGGAGGGGGAUAACUACUGGAAACGGUAGCUAAUACCGCAUAAUGUCGCAAGACCAAAGUGGGGGACCUUCGGGCCUCAUGCCAUCAGAUGUGCCCAGAUGGGAUUAGCUAGUAGGUGGGGUAACGGCUCACCUAGGCGACGAUCCCUAGCUGGUCUGAGAGGAUGACCAGCCACACUGGAACUGAGACACGGUCCAGACUCCUACGGGAGGCAGCAGUGGGGAAUAUUGCACAAUGGGCGCAAGCCUGAUGCAGCCAUGCCGCGUGUGUGAAGAAGGCCUUCGGGUUGUAAAGCACUUUCAGCGGGGAGGAAGGCGUUAAGGUUAAUAACCUUGUCGAUUGACGUUACCCGCAGAAGAAGCACCGGCUAACUCCGUGCCAGCAGCCGCGGUAAUACGGAGGGUGCAAGCGUUAAUCGGAAUUACUGGGCGUAAAGCGCACGCAGGCGGUCUGUCAAGUCGGAUGUGAAAUCCCCGGGCUCAACCUGGGAACUGCAUUCGAAACUGGCAGGCUAGAGUCUUGUAGAGGGGGGUAGAAUUCCAGGUGUAGCGGUGAAAUGCGUAGAGAUCUGGAGGAAUACCGGUGGCGAAGGCGGCCCCCUGGACAAAGACUGACGCUCAGGUGCGAAAGCGUGGGGAGCAAACAGGAUUAGAUACCCUGGUAGUCCACGCCGUAAACGAUGUCGAUUUGGAGGUUGUGCCCUUGAGGCGUGGCUUCCGGAGCUAACGCGUUAAAUCGACCGCCUGGGGAGUACGGCCGCAAGGUUAAAACUCAAAUGAAUUGACGGGGGCCCGCACAAGCGGUGGAGCAUGUGGUUUAAUUCGAUGCAACGCGAAGAACCUUACCUGGUCUUGACAUCCACAGAACUUNNCAGAGAUGCAUUGGUGCCUUCGGGAACUGUGAGACAGGUGCUGCAUGGCUGUCGUCAGCUCGUGUUGUGAAAUGUUGGGUUAAGUCCCGCAACGAGCGCAACCCUUAUCCUUUGUUGCCAGCGGUCCGGCCGGGAACUCAAAGGAGACUGCCAGUGAUAAACUGGAGGAAGGUGGGGAUGACGUCAAGUCAUCAUGGCCCUUACGACCAGGGCUACACACGUGCUACAAUGGCAUAUACAAAGAGAAGCGACCUCGCGAGAGCAAGCGGACCUCAUAAAGUAUGUCGUAGUCCGGAUUGGAGUCUGCAACUCGACUCCAUGAAGUCGGAAUCGCUAGUAAUCGUAGAUCAGAAUGCUACGGUGAAUACGUUCCCGGGCCUUGUACACACCGCCCGUCACACCAUGGGAGUGGGUUGCAAAAGAAGUAGGUAGCUUAACCUUCGGGAGGGCGCUUACCACUUUGUGAUUCAUGACUGGGGUGAA
rnacentral:rRNA from 1 species